rnacentral:rRNA from 1 species
CCUACGGGAGGCAGCAGUGGGGAAUAUUCCGCAAUGGAGGAAACUCUGACCCAGCAACGCCGCGUGAGUGAUGAAGGUCUUCGGAUCGUAAAGCUCUUUAAUCGGGGACGAAGAUACUGACUGUAACCUAAGCAUAAGUUUCCGCUACCUACUGGCCAGCCCACGCGGGAAUACGUAGGAGGCAAGCUUUAUCCGCAAUGACUGGGCGCAAAGGGCGCGUAGGUGGUUUGUCAAGUUGGUAGCGAAAUUCCGAGGCUCAACCUCGGUGCGACUACCGAAACUGUAGAACUUGAGUGCAGGAGAGGUGAAUGGAAUUCCAAGUGUAGCGGUGGAAUGCGUAGAGAUAGGGAGGAACACCAGCGGCGAAGGCGAUUCUCUGGACUGUAACUGACACUGAGGCGCGAAAGCGUGGGGAGCAAACAGGAUUAGAUACCCUGGUAGUC